AAAUCCUUCGGGAUUGGAAUUCUCGACUUAGUGGCGGACGGGUGAGUAACGCGUGAGCAAUCUGCCUUUAAGAGGGGGAUAACAGUCGGAAACGGCUGCUAAUACCGCAUAAAGCAUUGAAUUCGCAUGUUUUCGAUGCCAAAGGAGCAAUCCGCUUUUAGAUGAGCUCGCGUCUGAUUAGCUAGUUGGCGGGGUAACGGCCCACCAAGGCGACGAUCAGUAGCCGGACUGAGAGGUUGAACGGCCACAUUGGGACUGAGACACGGCCCAGACUCCUACGGGAGGCAGCAGUGGGGAAUAUUGCGCAAUGGGGGGAACCCUGACGCAGCAACGCCGCGUGAUUGAAGAAGGCCUUCGGGUUGUAAAGAUCUUUAAUUCGGGACGAAUUUUGACGGUACCGAAAGAAUAAGCUCCGGCUAACUACGUGCCAGCAGCCGCGGUAAUACGUAGGGAGCAAGCGUUAUCCGGAUUUACUGGGUGUAAAGGGCGCGCAGGCGGGCCGGCAAGUUGGAAGUGAAAUCCGGGGGCUUAACCCCCGAACUGCUUUCAAA
rnacentral:rRNA from 1 species